CCACAAUCAGUCUCAGAUACCAACAUGAGCAUGAAACAUACUCCACAAAGGAGCUGUUCAACAAGGGGUCCCAUGAUUUCAGGGCCACUAGUCCAGAAAAGGAUAUUCAGUCACGGUGCAAAAGAAGAGGGUAUAUGAGGACCUCUUUGAAGGGAGCUGAGAGUGAGUAUCCUGAUCCCACCAGCAGGAAGGAGAAAGGACCUGGGGAAGCCCCUCAGCCUGGUGAUCUUUCUCCUGCUUCCUGAAAACCCAGCACUCUUCAUACCUAUCCUAUCCUGGCUUGGCUGUAGACUGAGUGGACGGUCUUUCCUCCAGAGGAACUUCUAUGAGAGUCCAACAGACAACCAGAUUCCAGAAUCAUAUGGAGAAACCAGGUGACUGGGCUAAGAGGGGACCCUCAGUGUGACAAUGGCAAGAGAUGUUUAUCCAGAGGACCAGGCCAAACAAUUCCAUCUAGUUAUCUAGUUUUCUGUGACUCUUGGGUAGUAGUGAGCUAUUAUAUCAUGAUGGGAAUGACAGGAAGAACAGGGAGAAAAAUAAUAUUAAUUAUAGCAGGCUGAGAUUAUUCUACAUAGCAAACCACAGUUCUG
rnacentral:lncRNA from 10 species